rnacentral:rRNA from 1 species
CCUACGGGGCGCAGCAGUGAGGAAUAUUGGUCAAUGGACGAGAGUCUGAACCAGCCAAGUAGCGUGAAGGAUGACUGCCCUAUGGGUUGUAAACUUCUUUUAUAUGGGAAUAAAAUGUUCCACGUGUGGGAUUUUGUAUGUACCAUAUGAAUAAGGAUCGGCUAACUCCGUGCCAGCAGCCGCGGUAAUACGGAGGAUCCGAGCGUUAUCCGGAUUUAUUGGGUUUAAAGGGAGCGUAGGUGGAUUGUUAAGUCAGUUGUGAAAGUUUGCGGCUCAACCGUAAAAUUGCAGUUGAAACUGGCAGUCUUGAGUACAGUAGAGGUGGGCGGAAGUCGUGGUGUAGCGGUGAAAUGCUUAGAUAUCACGAAGAAUUCCGAUUGCGAAGGCAGUUCACUGGACUGCAACUGACACUGAGGCUCGAAAGUGUGGGUAUCAAACAGGAUUAGAUACCCUUGUAGUC